rnacentral:rRNA from 1 species
CAUUACCGAGAUUAGGGUCUUUUCGGGCCCGACCCUCCAACCUUUGUGUAUAUACCACUGUUGCUUCGGCGGAACCCAUGGCAAUACGGCGCUGCUAGCCACGUCGAGCCUGGCCCGCCGCAGGCCUUCUCAAUCCUGACUAAUCAGUGAUGUCUGAGUACGCUUCGGCACAAAUAAAUUAAAACUUUCAACAACGGAUCUCUUGGUUCUGGCAUCGAUGAAGAACGCAGCGAAAUGCGAUAAGUAAUGUGAAUUGCAGAAUUCAGUGAAUCAUCGAAUCUUUGAACGCACAUUGCGCCCUCUGGUAUUCCGGGGGGCAUGCCUGUUCGAGCGUCAUUACACCUCUCAAGCUCAGCUUGGUAUUGGGCUUCCGUCCCUGGUGGACGGGUCUAAAAAUCAGUGGCGGUGCAGCCGGUGCUCAAGCGUAGUAACAAUACAUUCCGCUUUGGAGCCACCGGGGAUGGACCCGCCAGACAA